UACGUAGGGGGCAGGCGUUGUCCGGAUUUAUUGGGCGUAAAGAGCGUGUAGGCGGCUUUACAGGUCCGUUGUGAAAACUCGAGGCUCAACCUCGAGACGCCGGUGGAAACCGUAAGGCUAGAGUCCGGAAGAGGAGAGUGGAAUUCCUGGUGUAGCGGUGAAAUGCGCAGAUAUCAGGAAGAACACCCGUGGCGAAGGCGGCUCUCUGGGACGGUACUGACGCUGAGACGCGAAAGCGUGGGGAGCAAAACGG
rnacentral:rRNA from 1 species